GCAGUCCAAAAAUUAAGUAAUGGAACCAGAUGAAGGGCUAACCGAGCCAAAUGGCUGGCUAACUAAGCCAAAUUCAGAUUUUGUGAGACAAAAUUGAACUUUAUUUCAAGCCAUGGUUGCAUUUGAAGUGGAUCAAUUGGUUUUGAAGUGUUUACUUUAUGUCACAUCAAUAACUUUUCCUUUGAAAAAAUCAAAACUGACAAAACUGUGUUACUUAGUUUUCUUACUUCCCUCUCCAUUCAUAUUUUCUUCACAUCGCCCAAGAACAAAUUCAUCUUUCUCUCCGGAAAUCUUCAUCAUUGUUUGGUACCAAGAAGCCCAAGCAGAAGAAAAAACAAAAUUGCUGGCAGAAGAGCAGUGUAACGUCACUUUCAUCACCAACAAAAAAUCUGACUGUUUAUCGUUUUAAAUUCAAAGCUCUAGAGAAAAAGCAGUCAAAGCUCUACCACUUUCAAAUUCAAAUUUCAAACUCUCUUCCUCCUCUCUCUCUCUCUCUAAACCCCAAAGCUUUUGAGACUCUGAUCGGAGAUCGAACACGAUGGAUGAAGAGUAUGAUGUCAUCGUUUUAGGUACUGGUCUUAAGGAAUGCAUUCUCAGUGGUCUUCUCUCCGUCGAUGGCCUCAAAGUUCUUCACAUGGAUAUUGAAAACUGAGCUCCUCCCUCCCUCAAGGAGGUAAACUUUUCAUUCCUGAAACCUGAAUCAUGUUCUCCCAUAAGUGUAGAAAAUGGACUAAAGUGUUUCAGAAUUCAAUUAUCAGAAUUUGAGGAAAAAGGCUCACAAACCCAAUGACAACAAAGAUCGAUGAAGCAGAGCACACGGCCCAGCGACGACAAAUGUUAUUGUCUGAUUUUUGGAACCUUGGCAGCUGCAUUGGUGGAAAUUUGCUCGAGAUCCUAAUUUUGAGGGAUUGCAUGCAUCUCAAAGAAGUAAGGAUGUUUAUAAGAAGCCAAACUAUGUCCAAAUAUUUGUAAAGUCACAAUUAUUGGAAUGCGCAUUUGCUUAAAGGAGAAAAGAGAACAAGUUUGUUUGAAUGGGUCUAAUAUGACAUUGUGUGACAGGCUUGAGUUGAAAUGAGACUUUGCUAUUUUUCAAUUGGGAUCUUCUUUUCUGCUAGACAGGGGUUUUUAUGUUGUUAUUCUUCUCUACAUACAUGUUUAGGGCUGAAAAUAUGCUUUUGAGUGUUCAUUUGAUUUACAAAUCCAGCAACGACAAAGAUCGAUGAAGAUUUGGAAUUACGGUAUCCUCAUAAAGGAAUGUUCAAAGAGCUUCCCAAAAAGCAAGGUUCACAAAAUUACGGUUUGAUUGUGUAAGUUUUCUAAACUUUAUUUGAUUGUAUUUGAGUAGUAUUUAGUUCAUGUUUGGGAUUUGAGUAAGUUUUCGUUUUGAUUUUCGUUUCAGAAUUAAAUUUUAUCAGAAAACUUGGGUUUGUUUUGAUUAUCAAAAAAUGGAAUAUAGUGUUUCAGAAAUCAAUUAUUAAUAUAGUUGUUCAUGAAUUUGAAGAAAAAGGUAUGUCUUUUUUUAUUUGAAUUCUCUAUUUUUCUUCAAUUGUGUUUCUUAUAUCUGAUUUUAUAAUCCUCUCUCUCUAUUUUUUUUUUUUUUGAAAUUAUUGUUGCUUAGUUGUCAUAUUUAUUAGGAUUUGUUUCUAUGUGUUUUAGUUAAUAAUAAUCGCUACCUUUUAGGAGUUGUUAGUGGGAUUUAGAUGAUUUUCUCAAAUACAAUAUGACUGAUUUGUUUUUGUUAAAUUUUAGAUUUUCUUUUUUUUUAGAUUUGUAUCAAUUUUUGUUUUUUUGUUUUGUUUUUGAUUUGUUUUAUUUGUUAUUCCAAAGCAGCGCCAGCGUGGUUUCCUUCUUUUAUUUUCCUUCCCACACGUUGUUGCUUUCUUUCUCCAUCUUCGCACCAUUCCAUUUUGGUGAAAAACCAAAAGCUGCUUUGCAAUCCUAUUCUACGAGCUUUGACCAAAACUUUCAAAUUUCACAAGCUUUGGCAGAAAAGAUGUAGCGUCACUUUCAUCUGUCUCUCUCAAAGCAAAAUAUUGCAGCACUACUCUGUUGUUUUUUGUUUUGUUGACUGAUUUCAAAAUUCAAUUUCUCCCUCUAACUCACUUUCUUAUUCAUCUCACUCCAUUUUUUCCUGAUUCCUUCUCUCCAAAGAUUGCAAAUUGUUUCUCCAUAUGUUAUUUCUCAAUUGUUUGUUCAGAUUAUUUUUGGUAUAUUCAUGAAGAUAUUGUUCUUCAAACUUGCAAACAGAGUGAAUCUCGCAAGCCUCUUGCAUUUGCUCCUAAAGUCAUUCCAAGUGCAGACUCCGUGACUGAAGUUUUGGUUAGAAGAUAAAUCGAAUUUAUUAUUUUGCUGUUGGUGAUUCUAAGAAUUUUUUUAGUGUAUUAAUUAUUAUCUUCUUACAGAUUGACCCAAACAAAACUCCAACUUCAGCACGCCAUAAAAGAGGGUGCAACUGCAAGAAAUCAAGCUGCCUAAAGAAAUAUUGUGAAUGCUAUCAGGGUGGUGUUGGUUGCUCCAUUAGCUGCAGAUGUGAAGGGUGCAAGAAUGCAUUCAGCAGAAAGGAUGGGUUCGCUUCAAUAGGAAUAGAAGGUGAGAUAGAAGAAGGAGUGGUUUAUUACAUUUACAUUCAUGCUUUCGUAGCCUUUUUGUAUAAUUUAAUUCUUUAAACAUUUUAUAAUAUGAUGAUGAUUAGAGUGAUAUAAACAAAUAUGUUAGUUUUGCAUCACUAUACCAAACAACUUUAUUUAUACUUCUUCCAAAACAUGCCUUAUUAGUUUAUGUGUAUUUAGUGGUAUAGUUAUCAUAUGAUUUUCAGUUAUUCAAAUAAUAACCGUUAGUUCUCUUCUCCUUAUUUGAUUAAAGUGAUUUUUGUACCAUUAACAGCAUAACAUGUUUGGUCACUCAUUAUAAAGGUUUAUUGACCCCUUUAA